rnacentral:rRNA from 1 species
GAUGAACGCUGGCGGCGUGCUUAAGACAUGCAAGUCGAACGGAGUGUGUAGCAAUACUCACUAAGUGGCGAAUGGGUGAGUAACACGUAGGUGACCUGCCCUGAAGUGCGGAAUAACAGUCCGAAAGGAUUGCUAAUACCGCAUGUGGUCCCGGGCGUUAGAGAACCGGGUCUAAAGCAGUAAUGCGCUUCAGGAGGGGCCUGCGGUCCAUCAGCUAGUUGGUAGGGAAUGGCCUACCAAGGCAACGACGGAUAGGGGACCUGAGAGGGUCGGCCCC